GGGGAUGCAGCUCAGUGUUAGAGUGCUUGCUUAGCAUGCAGUUGAUCCUGGGUUCAAUCCCCAGCACCACCA
rfam:Ictidomys tridecemlineatus contig029692, whole genome shotgun sequence.